rnacentral:rRNA from 1 species
AUUGAACGCUGGCGGAAGGCCUAACACAUGCAAGUCGAACGAGUGGCGGACGGGUGAGUAAUGUCUGGGAAACUGCCUGAUGGAGGGGGAUAACUACUGGAAAAGGUAGCUAAUACCGCAUACCAUCAGAUGUGCCCAGAUGGGAUUAGCUAGGUGGUGGGUUAACGGCUCACCAAGGCGACGAUCCCUAGCUGGUCUGAGAGGAGUACCAGCCACAACGGAAACGAGACACGGUCCAAACUCCUACGGGAGGCAGCCGUGGGGAAUAUUUGACAAGGGGCGCAAGCCUGAUGCAGCCAUGCCGCGUUUAUGAAGAAGGCCUUCGGGGUGUAAAGUACUUUCAGCGGGGAGGCGUUACCCGCAGAAGAAGCACCGGCUAACUCCGUGCCAGCCGCCGCGGUAAUAC